GAAAAGCAAAGAACCUGGUGUUGCCUCUUUGGGUUUUUCUGAGUUGGGAGUUUGGAGGCUGAAACCAAGAGGUCAGCUGGGACUGUGGUCUCAUCUGAGGCUUGACUGGGGGAGGAUUCACUGCCAAGCUCUCAUGGUGUUGGCAGCAUGCAGCUCCCUGAUGGCUGUCUGAGGGAUGGCCCCCAUUUCUGCUGGCUGUCAGCUCCUCAACCUGCAGCCCUCUCCAAAUGAGAGCUCAAACAACAAGGCAGCUUGCUUCUUCAAAUCCACCAAGGGAUAGUCUUCUUAAGACACUGCAGACUCACUGUGUAAAAAUUGUAAAAACACAAG
rnacentral:lncRNA from 1 species